GACGAACGCUGGCGGCGUGCCUAAUACAUGCAAGUAGAACGCUGAAGAGAGGAGCUUGCUCUUCUUGGAUGAGUUGCGAACGGGUGAGUAACGCGUAGGUAACCUGCCUUGUAGCGGGGGAUAACUAUUGGAAACGAUAGCUAAUACCGCAUAACAAUGGCUGACACAUGUCAUUUAUUUGAAAGGGGCAAUUGCUCCACUACAAGAUGGACCUGCGUUGUAUUAGCUAGUAGGUGAGGUAAUGGCUCACCUAGGCGACGAUACAUAGCCGACCUGAGAGGGUGAUCGGCCACACUGGGACUGAGACACGGCCCAGACUCCUACGGGAGGCAGCAGUAGGGAAUCUUCGGCAAUGGGGGCAACCCUGACCGAGCAACGCCGCGUGAGUGAAGAAGGUGUUCGGAUCGUAAAGCUCUGUUGUAAGUCAAGAACGGGUGUGAGAGUGGAAAGUUCACACUGGGACGGUAGCGUACCAGAAAGGGACGGCUAACUACGU
rnacentral:rRNA from 1 species